rnacentral:piRNA from 1 species
UNGCAGGAUGUUUUUGGAUCAGGUCUCUGA